UCCAACCCUUCAGGAGGCCUGGAGGAUAAACCAAAAUUUUCAGUUGGAAAGUGUGAAUACAGGAAAACGGCUGCAGGAAUUGAUGACAUUCUACUAGAGCUUGUUGGUGAGACUUGUGAAACCCCGUAACUGUGUUUUUGAGAACUGGGCUGCUGUGUUAAACUAUGAC